UACGGAGGGUGCGAGCGUUGUCCGGAAUCACUGGGCGUAAAGGGCGCGUAGGCGGCUUGAUAAGUAGGGGGUGAAAUCCUGGAGCUCAACUCCAGAACUGCCUUCGAUACUGGCGAGCUCGAGUUCGGGAGAGGUGAGUGGAACUGCGAGUGUAGAGGUGAAAUUCGUAGAUAUUCGCAAGAACACCAGUGGCGAAGGCGGCUCACUGGCCCGAUACUGACGCUGAGGUGCGAAAGCGUGGGGAGCAAACAGG
rnacentral:rRNA from 1 species